rnacentral:rRNA from 1 species
UACAGAGGGGGCAAGCGUUAUCCGGAAUUACUGGGCGUAAAGCGCGUGUAGGCGGCACGGCAAGUCGGAUGUGAAAGCCCGCGGCUCAACCGUGGAAGUGCACUCGAAACUGCCGAGCUAGAGUCUCGGAGAGGAAGGUGGAAUGCUUGGUGUAGAGGUGAAAUUCGUAGAUAUCAAGCAGAACACCUGUGGCGAAGGCGGCCUUCUGGACGAUGACUGACGCUGAGACGCGAAAGCGUGGGGAGCAAACAGG